UGUGGUGACGAUGGCGAGAAGGAUACACCUGUUCCCAUGUCGAACACAGAAGUUAAGCUUCUUAGCGCCGAGAGUAGUUG
rnacentral:rRNA from 2 species